rnacentral:lncRNA from 1 species
CCAUUCCUCCUCUUCCCAACUGCCUUUCCCAUGUUAGGAAAUGUCGGCAGCCAUCUCAGCACAUGCAAGCCCCUCCAGGAAUCCAAUUCCAGCAGAAUGGAACCUCAUUUCCCCUUUUCUCCACGCCCAAUUUCUCCACCCGCAGAAUCAAACUGGCGAAGGGGGUUUCCUGAUUCCACCUCACGAACACUGCGAGAUCGCUCAAAACGCUCGAACCCAAUACACCGUUUUCGUGGAGGGCAGAGGCGCCUAUGAAUCCCUGCACCGACUGCAAGUCGUGAAAGGCAUUGGCAAAGUCGAAGAAGUUCGUGUUGGUGCGCUUGGCCAUGGCGGCGUAGGAGGCCGAGGCGGAGGCAAUGGCACCAAUGUACUUGACGACGAUGUGGGUUAGGGUUUCAAGGGUGGAGGGCUUCAUGGAUUUGAAUCCGACUAAUUGGGUGAUCUGAGACUGGCUAUGGCAAAUUAGAACUCUGGUAGGGUUGGGUUUUGGAUUGGAGGUGCUGGCCUUUGUUUAAGUUUUGGGAUUUUGCAUCGUGAUUUGGAUUUUUGGGACAUGGUGGUGGUGGCGUUGGCGGAUUGGAAGAAGAUUUGGUGUUGCAGAGGAGGAAUGGAAAGGUGGUUUUGAAUUUUGAAAUUUUGGGUUUUUUUAUUUUUAUUUUUAUUUUUUAUUUUUUGAAUUUUUAAUUUUCAUGUGGACCUCUUAAUGACAUGUGGCGC